UACAGAGGUCCCAAGCGUUGUUCGGAUUCACUGGGCGUAAAGGGUGCGUAGGCGGCCAGGUAAGUUUGAUGUGAAAUCCCGCAGCUUAACUGCGGAACUGCAUUGGAUACUAUCUGGCUAGAGGAAUGGAGGGGAGACUGGAAUUCUCGGUGUAGCAGUGAAAUGCGUAGAUAUCGAGAGGAACACCAGUGGCGAAGGCGAGUCUCUGGACAUUUCCUGACGCUGAGGCACGAAAGCCAGGGGAGCAAACGGG
rnacentral:rRNA from 1 species